rnacentral:rRNA from 1 species
GACGAACGCUGGCGGCGUGCCUAAUACAUGCUAGUAGAACGCUGAAGAGAGGAGCUUGCUCUUCUUGGAUGAGUUGCGAACGGGUGAGUAACGCGUAGGUAACCUGCCUUGUAGCGGGGGAUAACUAUUGGAAACGAUAGCUAAUACCGCAUAACAAUGGAUGACUCAUGUCAUUUAUUUGAAAGGGGCAAAUGCUCCACUACAAGAUGGACCUGCGUUGUAUUAGCUAGUAGGUGAGGUAACGGCUCACCUAGGCGACGAUACAUAGCCGACCUGAGAGGGUGAUCGGCCACACUGGGACUGAGACACGGCCCAGACUCCUACGGGAGGCAGCAGUAGGGAAUCUUCGGCAAUGGGGGCAACCCUGACCGAGCAACGCCGCGUGAGUGAAGAAGGUUUUCGGAUCGUAAAGCUCUGUUGUAAGUCAAGAACGAGUGUGAGAGUGGAAAGUUCACACUGUGACGGUAGCUUACCAGAAAGGGACGGCUAACUACGUGCCAGCAGCCGCAGUAA